GGCUCGGUUGCGGAGGGUCCGCACCUGCUCUGCGUUGGCAUUUGGUAUGCUCAACAGAAUUCCGCAGGCGUCGCCCGUUCGACUCGGGUCCGAGCCA